GCUGCGCCCCGCACCCGCUUUGGCUGGGGGUCCUCCCACCAAAACUCUCCCUUGCUUCUUUCCAGCCUCCAGAGCCGGAGACAGCCGCUUAUCCCUGCGCCCCGCGGGUUCCGAGGCCCUCUCCGCAGACCCCCGCCCUCAACUUCUUACCCCGGUUUGGGCAAUAAGCUGCCCCGCUCUUUGUCCCAGGCCCAGGCCAUGGCGGGUGGGUGGGCGCCGUGGGCCCGGGAGAAGGGCGGAGCGCUGUGCUGGGCCGGGGACGAGGCUGGGUGACGGCGGUAGCGCCGGGAGUCUGCAGUGUGCGAACGAGAAGUGAGCGCAGAGCGCCCGGCGAGCAGGUGCCAGUGGCGCGGAGAGCGCAAGAGCGAGCCAGAGAGCAGCAGCCGUACGCGGGCCUCUCACUGUUGUGGCCUCUCCCGUUGCGGAGCACAGGCUCUGGACGCGCAGGCCCAGCGGCCAUGGCUCACGGGCCCAGCCGCUCCGUGGCAUGUGAGAUCUUCCCGGACUGCGGCACGAACCCGUGUCCCCUGCAUCGGCAGGCAGACUCUCAACCACUGCGCCACCAGGGAAGCCCAACACAAAGCAUUUUUAAAGGCCAGAUGAGGAAACUGGGGCUCAGAGAGGUUCAGUAACUUGUCCAAGAGACUCAGGCAGCAAGUGGAGGAAUUGGGACCAAACCUUGGCAGUCUGACUCAGGAGCCCGGAAUCUUUGCUAGUAUUCUACACAGCUUCUAGAGACUGCCCACAUUCCCUGGCUCCAGGCCCCAUUCCUGCAUCUUCAAAGUCAGUGGCAUACAUCUUCUGCCCUCU